rnacentral:lncRNA from 1 species
CCAGUCCCCAUUCCCCAACACAUGUAGAAACCACCAGAAACGUGUGAAAUAGAUAAACACCUUUUUUUUCAUUUCCUGUUGUUUAUAUACAGUAUCUCGAAUCAGGAACUCUGUCAUAUCCCGUGUAAUAUGUCAAAACUAUUUGAUGGAUUUCUUAUCAUGGUGGAGUGGAUUACUGUUUGAUUUUGGGGUAGGCUGUCAACAGCGUGUACUGUGUGACACUAUCUGUUUUCUAAUGAUGUCAACAAUGCGUCUGGCAUAGAAUCAGGAACUAGAAUAGUAAUUUAAGAGGAUCUCUAUGGCGUAUAGACAUAUUUGAUGUCAUGAUUAUGAUGUCUUUAUGCCAUGGGUAAUGUCCAUAUUCACUUCAGUUCAUUGUGUCUGCGGAAGGUUCACAGACGGGUUUUCAACCGAGCUACAUUAUCAGAGACGCAAAGCGGGUGUCUUAACGGCUCACACAUCAUGGCUGACGACAACCAGAUACGGUUAAUUUAAGCCUACAUUUUUAAGUUUAAAAGAGAAAUCAAUAAGUCGAUUUUGAAUUUUCCUAAUUGCAUGUUGUUCAAACGGCAGUUCUUCCUUAAGGACAAAUGUGAUUGAUAUUAGGGCGGAAGUAUGAUUUGAAGUUUCAGCAAGUAAUUCCAACUGGGUAAUUGUUGUGGGAUGUCAGCAUGCAAUAAGCCUACUGCACGUGUAGAAUCAGUGCCAUGAAGGAUGGUGCAGGCCGGCAAGUUGCUACAGUAGCCUAGCAUGGAGUAGCAGAUGUGGAUCAGAUCUGGCUGACUUGUUCGCAGGCUAAAUUUCUCACCAGUCAUCCUCUGUAAUAAUUACCUCCCAGAGAGCAAUUACAAAGAACUAAUAAUGUUUUUAAAAGCACCAUUAUAACUAGCGACAUUACAGUCAGUCACCUCAGGCUGAGAAGGACUCGGUAGAACAGUGUUGGAUUUGUCCAUGUCUUGCUAAAUUAAUCUACCAUAACUGGGGAGACUUUAUACUGCAUUUUUAAAGCUGGAAUCCUUAAUGGUGAAACUACCACGUCCGAUAUUACAACAGCAGAGAAGUUACUGCAAACAACGAACACAGUUUUUUUCUGCUUUUCUGCUUCGUGCAUCAUUGCACGCAAGAUUAAACAUAAGUAUAUCCCACUGGACACGUACGUUAAUUCAACGUCUAUUUCACGUUGGUUCCAGAUAAUUCCCUUUAAAUGACUUGGAAACAACGUUGAUUCAACCAGUGUGUGACCAGUGGGAUGUAAGCCACCACUGCUUCGUCAACGAAAACAUUUCAGGGCCAUGCCGCUGUCUCAGGUGCUGCCCAGAUUCAAAACAUUUCAGGGCCAUGCCGCUGUCUCAGGUGCUGCCCAGAUUCGAAACAUUUCAGGGCCAUGCCGCUGUCCACUAACGCCUACAAACUCAGACAUUGACAGCUCAACAGUGCUGAAAUAGUUCGAGCCCCAGAGAACAUCAAUGAUUUUAAACUAGUUUAAGUGCAAGUGAUUAUAAUUUAUUGCACAUGUUAGUUUUGCUGAUUUGCAGCAUCAGAAUUAUCGCUAAUGGGUUGCAGCGAGUUACGUUUUUGAGCAUUUUUAAAAAUGUAUUUAUUUAUUUCACCUUUAUUUAACCAGGUAGGCAAGUUGAGAACAAGUUCUCAUUUACAACUGCGACCUGGCCAAGAUAAAGCAAAGCAGUUCGACACAUACAACAACACAGAGUUACACAUGGAGUAAAACAAACAUACAGUCAAUAAUACAGUUGAAGAAAAUAUAUAUACAGUGUGUGCAAAUGAGGUAAGAAAAGUGAGGUAAGGCAAUAAAUAGGCCAUGGUGGCGAAGUAAUUACAAUAUACCAAUUAGACACUAGAGUGAUUGACGUGCAGAUGGUGAUGAUGAUGCCUAAGAAGAGGAUGAGGAUGCUUGAUGAACCAUAAAUGACUCGCUAUGAUCUGUUUUCUGAUAUUGUCGACAAAGCGUUUAGACAUUAGACCAUAUAAAUAUAGCAAAUCCAUUGGAUUUAUGCUAUAGAUUUAGGCCUAAUUGUGACAUAAUGUGUAUACGGUAUUUUACGAAUCCCUCUGCUUAAGCCUAUCAGAAACGAGUAUUCAACAAUGUCUUGGUAAAAUUCAAGGAUAACGUCCAUGUCACUUCAGUUGCGUCUGUUGACGUUUCACCCAUGUGCUUUUAAAGGGACUAUCAGUAUUACCUCCAAAUAGCCUGCUACAAUAGGCUACACACCCAUGUCUGACGAUACCACGGUAUGGUUAAUUAUGCAUACUUUGAGUUUCGAGGAGAAAUCACUAUCAUUAUUUUAGGUCACUCACUACCAAAGCAAUACUGUAUGUCUCACUGGUUUGACCCAUGGACAGAAAGUUGACUACCACUGCCGUUUUGAGUAAAAUACCAGCAAAUAAGUUGUUUCAUAAAGUCACAAAAGAAGACUGAUAUUGCCCUCUCAUUUAUCCACCAGAGCAUGAAAUGGGAGUAUACCCCUGACUAUCAAAAGGAAGUUGGGGAGGAUAUGAAGGAUGAAACAGAGACUCAUGAGACCAAAUACAACAGGACAGGAAGCAAGGCUUAACGUAAGUCCAGUGGAGGUGGCAAGAAGAAUUCGGUGAAGGAGGACAGCAGCAUUUGUGCAGGGUCUUCUAAUGCACCCAGGUGUAGUUUCCAGGACAGGGAAUCUAACAUUGAGCAGCUGGAGAAGGAGCCUCAGAGGACUCUAAUGCCUUCUCUCAAUAUUGGGACAAGCUGUGCCCCAGUCCUCCUCCUUCCUGAGUAGUCUAACUAAUGAAACAAAAUGUCUCCUAUACUUAAUGGCUUAAUCAUUGGAUAGUGAUUCAGCAUGGCAUGAAGAAUAACCUGACGUUUGAGCAGCUCUCCAUGAUGUGUCUGAAGAUUGUUAAGGUCGUGACCCAGAUGGCCCUCCGCAUUCUGCUACCAGUGCUGGCUCGUAUCAUGGGGGUGAACCUGAGGAGUGGGACGACCUCCCCAGAAUCCCAGUGCUCUCUGACAGGGUCUAAGGACUCCUUGGACAGUCUGGAUGAGCGGGAGAAAAGGCUGCUGAUCAGUGAGAUGAACUACUGGACCAAGGAAAGGAGGAAUGGCAGGGCAGGGUGCCACGAAAAAUAUGUUGGCAGAACCAAACCACCAUGCUACUCCCCUAAGAGGGUCAUUGUUCCUUGUCCAGAUCUGGAAAAGGGUCCAAGGUCAAAGUGUGAGCUAGAGAUCAACCUCCCUGGUACUCCCAUCCCUGAUGAGGUGCCUGAUGAUUUGACCUUCCCCAUCGCCAGGAGCUCCUGCAUCGACAUCAGGGACUCUAUAAUGCAAGGGAUUUCUACGAGUGACCUAAGGACAAAGAUGAUGACACACACAGAUGAAGCCCUGCAUCGUAAUAGUCCAAGGACUGACAGUAACCGACAAUCGAGUGCCAAAGCCUCUCUUCGAUUCUUCACUCCCUCUUGCACCAGCAAGGGAACAUCCUUGGUAACAAAGGGAGUUGGGAUUGACAUGGAAGAGAAAGAGGGGUGCUACCCUAGCAGCUCUGGCCAUCUGAGGGAGUUAUUCAUCACUUCAGACAUCAGCAGUGCUACUGCAUUCCCUCUGCAGUCCUUGAUGGACUCCAGCAAAGAGGAUUUUAUCUGUUUGGUCACAAUACUGGUGAUAAGGUUGCUACCGAAGAUCGGUCCCUCAGCCCUAGAUGGACCUUCCCAACAGGCAGUAGACAUGACAGCAAUAUUUCAGCAGCUCAUCAGACAAGUUCUGUCUGAGUUCUGUGUUGCAUCUGGAUUCUCAAGGACACAGGCGCACCCUCAGGACCUGCACAUCCACACGGUGUUCAGAGGUGUACAUAAAAACCUCCUGGAUGCGUUUGGCUCUUAUAACGCCCUCCAAGCCACUCUGGCCUCCCAGGAUUCUGAAUUUGACAGAGUCCUGGUAAAAUCAUUGCCCAGCAGCUGGUGCAGGGAUCAAGGAGCCAUCAAGACCAGCAUCUACCGCCACAAACCCAGCAGACCAGGCUGAGACAGAGAGUGGGAAUGAGCAGAAAGCAAGAAGGAGCUUCCUUUGCUUCUCAAUGACCAAACUCAGGAUCAACAAUAAGCGUUCCAAGAGAGGAAACAAAAUGACUGCCAUUCAGUCCAGGACCAGACUGAGAUUCCCUCUACUGCAUAGCCCCCCACAUUGGGGAUCAUGGUGCUGAAUCUCCAGUUGGAGAGGUUUCUCGGUUCAUCUCUCAGCCUAUCAACAAGACCCUGAUUAUCGCUCCUUGAUAAUCAGGCUCUUUUCAGCAAUGAUGAAGCCGUUCGAGCGCUCCUCCUGAAAGAACCUGUUACUCUGUAUGAAGAAAUACUUUUGACAAGAGGGAUAUGCAUGUCUACCCUUUAAAGUCUGCUUGAUCAAAUAAAUGCAAACUAUUUUACAAGGGUUUUACAUGUUUUGGAUGAUUGCUAGCACUGAAGAAGCUUUUCUCACAUACUCUCUGGUCAGAUAGUGGAAGAGAACUGCGUUAGUUCCCCUGUGGUUACACAUCAUUUUG